AGCAUCAAAUCCGGGGGAUGUUAUCAAGACUAGGGUUAUGAACAUGAAAGUGGAGGCAGGAAAAGCCGCGCCGUACAACGGGGCCAUUGACUGCGCAAUGAAGACAGUGAAAGCUGAAGGGGUUAUGGCCCUUUACAAGGGGUUUAUACCUACGAUUUCAAGGCAGGGGCCUUUCACUGUGGUUCUUUUUGUGACGCUUGAGCAAGUUAGGAAAUUGCUCAAGGAUUUUUAAUCAAUU
rnacentral:misc_RNA from 1 species